GACGAACGCUGGCGGCAUGCCUAACACAUGCAAGUCGAACGAGACCUUCGGGUCUAGUUGCGCACGGGUGCGUAACGCGUGGGAACCUGCCCUUAGGUUCGGUAUAACUCCCCGAAAGGUGUGCUAAUACCGGAGAAUGUCUUCGGACCAAGGAUUUAUCGCCUUUUGAUGGGGCCGCGUUGGAUUAGCUAGUUGGUAGGGUACAAGCCUACCAAGGACACGUUCCAUAGCUGGUCUGAGAGGAUGAUCAGCCACACUGGGACUGAGACCCGGACCAGAAUCCUACGGGAAGCAGCAGUGGGGAAUAUUGGACAAUGGGCGAAAGCCUGAUACAGCAAUGCCGCGUGAGUGAUGAAGGCCUUAGGGUUGUAAAGCUCUUUUACCCGGGAUGAUAAUGACAGUAACGGGAGAAUAAGCUCCGGCUAACUACGUG
rnacentral:rRNA from 1 species